rnacentral:rRNA from 1 species
UUAAACUGAAGAGUUUGAUCAUGGCUCAGAUUGAACGCUGGCGGCAGGCCUAACACAUGCAAGUCGAGCGGUAACAG